CAAAAACAUAGCUUUUUGAUUUUAAUAUAAAAAGUGACUCCUGCCCAGUGAAACUCAUUAAACGGCCGCGGUACCCUAACCGUGCAAAGGUAGCAUAAUCACUUGCCCAUUAAUUGUUGGCUAGAAUGAAAGGAUAAAUGAAAUAUCUACUGUCUCUACUUAACCAAUAUAAAUUAUUCUUUAGAUGAAGAAAUCUAAAUAUAGUUGAAAGACAAGAAGACCCUGUAGAGCUUUAUUUAAAAAUGGGGUAACCAUAAUACAAUUCGGUUGGGGCGACCGGGGAAAUACCACAAUCACCCCCAAAUAAAAAGAUUAAUAUAUCUAAAAUACUGACCCAGAAAAGAUUAAAGGCUAAGCUACCUCAGGGAUAACAGGCUAAUCUCAUUAAAGAGUUCUUAUUAACAAUGAGGUUUGGCACCUCGAUGUUGGCUUAGGGGCCCCCUUAAAUGCAGAAGUUUAACAUGGUGGUUUGUUCAACCAAUAACCCCCUACGUGAUCUGA
rnacentral:rRNA from 1 species